UGCAGUCGAGCGGUAACAGGAAUUAGCUUGCUAAUUUGCUGACGAGCGGCGGACGGGUGAGUAACGCGUAGGAAUCUGCCUGGUAGUGGGGGACAACAUGUGGAAACGCAUGCUAAUACCGCAUACGCCCUACGGGGGAAAGGAGGGGAUCUUCGGACCUUUCGCUAUCAGAUGAGCCUGCGUGAGAUUAGCUAGUUGGUGGGGUAAAGGCUCACCAAGGCGACGAUCUCUAGCUGGUCUGAGAGGAUGAUCAGCCACACUGGGACUGAGACACGGCCCAGACUCCUACGGGAGGCAGCAGUGGGGAAUAUUGGACAAUGGGCGCAAGCCUGAUCCAGCCAUGCCGCGUGUGUGAAGAAGGCCUUCGGGUUGUAAAGCACUUUCAGAGGUGAGGAAGGGUGUGCCGUUAAUACCGGUAUGCUUUGACGUUAGCCUCAGAAGAAGCACCGGCUAACUCUGUGCCAGCAGCCGCGGUAAUACAGAGGGUGCGAGCGUUAAUCGGAAUUACUGGGCGUAAAGCGCGCGUAGGUGGUUUGUUAAGUCGGAUGUGAAAGCCCAGGGCUCAACCUUGGAAUUGCACCCGAUACUGGCAAGCUAGAGUACGGUAGAGGGGUGUGGAAUUUCCUGUGUAGCGGUGA
rnacentral:rRNA from 1 species